rnacentral:rRNA from 1 species
CAGCCGCCGCGGUAAUACGUAGGUGGCAAGCGUUGUCCGGAAUUAUUGGGCGUAAAGGGCUCGCAGGCGGUUUCUUAAGUCUGAUGUGAAAGCCCCCGGCUCAACCGGGGAGGGUCAUUGGAAACUGGGAAACUUGAGUGCAGAAGAGGAGAGUGGAAUUCCACGUGUAGCGGUGAAGUGCGUAGAGAUGUGGAGGAACACCAGUGGCGAAGGCGACUCUCUGGUCUGUAACUGACGCUGAGGGGCGAAAGCGUGGGGAGCGAACAGGAUUAGAUACCCCUGUAGUCCCUGUCUCUUAUAC